UACGAAGGGGGCUAGCGUUGCUCGGAAUCACUGGGCGUAAAGCGCACGUAGGCGGAUCUUUAAGUCAGGGGUGAAAUCCCAAGGCUCAACCUUGGAACUGCCCUUGAUACUGGGGAUCUCGAGUCCGGAAGAGGUUGGUGGAACUCCGAGUGUAGAGGUGAAAUUCGUAGAUAUGGGGAGGAACACCGGUGGCGAAGGCGGCCAUCUGGACGGAUACUGACGCUGAGACGCGAAAGCGUGGGGAGCAAACAGG
rnacentral:rRNA from 1 species